CUACGGAGCCAAUUAAGCUGAGGUGGAGGAGAGCCAAGAAGAGAGACUGGAGUUUAUAAUAAAACCUGAAGCGCCGGGAGCCAAGUUGAGUUGCAGAUCCCAGGAGGAGGAACCAUACCUUGCAUCCUCAGUAGGAAGAAGCUUUUGCCCCAGCAAAAGAUCGGGCUAUGCUCAAGAUACAGACAUUCAGAGAUACGCUCAAGUUUACAAAAUUAGCAGGACUAAAUGGCGAUCUGAACUCAACCUUCAGAUUCCUAGCAGAAGAUUUGGUCUACACAGCAGUGAUCUCUAAACAUUCUUAUGGAGAAAAAGAUCUCUGCACUUCUGAUGGGCAGUAAAGGACAACACCCAACAUCUGGAUGAGAAAAUGGCACAAAGAUAUCUAAGGAAACCAAGACUGACUCUUUUACUACAACUACCUUUGGAU